CAUCAAUAAAAAUAGAUGAGUUUGGUGAUGGCUCUG
rnacentral:rRNA from 1 species